UACGUAGGGUGCAAGCGUUGUCCGGAAUUAUUGGGCGUAAAGAGCUCGUAGGCGGUCUGUCACGUCGGAUGUGAAAACUCGGGGCUCAACCCCGAGCCUGCAUACGAUACGGGCAGACUUGAGUUCGGCAGGGGAGACUGGAAUUCCUGGUGUAGCGGUGAAAUGCGCAGAUAUCUGGAGGAACACCGGUGGCGAAGGCGGCAUCCUGGACCAAUACUGACGCUGAGGAGCGAAAGCCAGGGGAGCGAACAGG
rnacentral:rRNA from 1 species